UACGAAGGGGGCUAGCGUUGCUCGGAAUCACUGGGCGUAAAGGGUGCGUAGGCGGGUUUUUAAGUCAGGGGUGAAAUCCUGGAGCUCAACUCCAGAACUGCCUUUGAUACUGACGGUCUUGAGUCCGGGAGAGGUGAGUGGAACUCCGAGUGUAGAGGUGAAAUUCGUAGAUAUUCGGAAGAACACCAGUGGCGAAGGCGGCUCACUGGCCCGGUACUGACGCUGAGGUGCGAAAGCGUGGGGAGCAAACAGG
rnacentral:rRNA from 1 species